GGGUUGUGAGGUUAAGCGACUAAGCGUACACGGUGGAUGCCCUGGCAGUCAGAGGCGAUGAAGGACGUGCUAAUCUGCGAUAAGCGUCGGUAAGGUGAUAUGAACCGUUAUAACCGGCGAUUUCCGAAUGGGGAAACCCAGUGUGAUUCGUCACACUAUCAUUAACUGAAUCCAUAGGUUAAUGAGGCGAACCGGGGGAACUGAAACAUCUAAGUACCCCGAGGAAAAGAAAUCAACCGAGAUUCCCCCAGUAGCGGCGAGCGAACGGGGAGCAGCCCAGAGCCUGAAUCAGUGUGUGUGUUAGUGGAAGCGUCUGGAAAGGCGCGCGAUACAGGGUGACAGCCCCGUACACAAAAAUGCACAUGCUGUGAGCUCGAUGAGUAGGGCGGGACACGUGGUAUCCUGUCUGAAUAUGGGGGGACCAUCCUCCAAGGCUAAAUACUCCUGACUGACCGAUAGUGAACCAGUACCGUGAGGGAAAGGCGAAAAGAACCCCGGCGAGGGGAGUGAAAAAGAACCUGAAACCGUGUACGUACAAGCAGUGGGAGCACGCUUAGGCGUGUGACUGCGUACCUUUUGUAUAAUGGGUCAGCGACUUAUAUUCUGUAGCAAGGUUAACCGAAUAGGGGAGCCGAAGGGAAACCGAGUCUUAACUGGGCGUUAAGUUGCAGGGUAUAGACCCGAAACCCGGUGAUCUAGCCAUGGGCAGGUUGAAGGUUGGGUAACACUAACUGGAGGACCGAACCGACUAAUGUUGAAAAAUUAGCGGAUGACUUGUGGCUGGGGGUGAAAGGCCAAUCAAACCGGGAGAUAGCUGGUUCUCCCCGAAAGCUAUUUAGGUAGCGCCUCGUGAAUUCAUCUCCGGGGGUAGAGCACUGUUUCGGCAAGGGGGUCAUCCCGACUUACCAACCCGAUGCAAACUGCGAAUACCGGAGAAUGUUAUCACGGGAGACACACGGCGGGUGCUAACGUCCGUCGUGAAGAGGGAAACAACCCAGACCGCCAGCUAAGGUCCCAAAGUCAUGGUUAAGUGGGAAACGAUGUGGGAAGGCCCAGACAGCCAGGAUGUUGGCUUAGAAGCAGCCAUCAUUUAAAGAAAGCGUAAUAGCUCACUGGUCGAGUCGGCCUGCGCGGAAGAUGUAACGGGGCUAAACCAUGCACCGAAGCUGCGGCAGCGACACUAUGUGUUGUUGGGUAGGGGAGCGUUCUGUAAGCCUGUGAAGGUGUACUGUGAGGUAUGCUGGAGGUAUCAGAAGUGCGAAUGCUGACAUAAGUAACGAUAAAGCGGGUGAAAAGCCCGCUCGCCGGAAGACCAAGGGUUCCUGUCCAACGUUAAUCGGGGCAGGGUGAGUCGACCCCUAAGGCGAGGCCGAAAGGCGUAGUCGAUGGGAAACAGGUUAAUAUUCCUGUACUUGGUGUUACUGCGAAGGGGGGACGGAGAAGGCUAUGUUGGCCGGGCGACGGUUGUCCCGGUUUAAGCGUGUAGGCUGGUUUUCCAGGCAAAUCCGGAAAACUAAGGCUGAGGCGUGAUGACGAGGCACUACGGUGCUGAAGCAACAAAUGCCCUGCUUCCAGGAAAAGCCUCUAAGCAUCAGGUAACAUCAAAUCGUACCCCAAACCGACACAGGUGGUCAGGUAGAGAAUACCAAGGCGCUUGAGAGAACUCGGGUGAAGGAACUAGGCAAAAUGGUGCCGUAACUUCGGGAGAAGGCACGCUGAUAUGUAGGUGAAGUCCCUCGCGGAUGGAGCUGAAAUCAGUCGAAGAUACCAGCUGGCUGCAACUGUUUAUUAAAAACACAGCACUGUGCAAACACGAAAGUGGACGUAUACGGUGUGACGCCUGCCCGGUGCCGGAAGGUUAAUUGAUGGGGUUAGCGCAAGCGAAGCUCUUGAUCGAAGCCCCGGUAAACGGCGGCCGUAACUAUAACGGUCCUAAGGUAGCGAAAUUCCUUGUCGGGUAAGUUCCGACCUGCACGAAUGGCGUAAUGAUGGCCAGGCUGUCUCCACCCGAGACUCAGUGAAAUUGAACUCGCUGUGAAGAUGCAGUGUACCCGCGGCAAGACGGAAAGACCCCGUGAACCUUUACUAUAGCUUGACACUGAACAUUGAGCCUUGAUGUGUAGGAUAGGUGGGAGGCUUUGAAGUGUGGACGCCAGUCUGCAUGGAGCCGACCUUGAAAUACCACCCUUUAAUGUUUGAUGUUCUAACGUUGACCCGUAAUCCGGGUUGCGGACAGUGUCUGGUGGGUAGUUUGACUGGGGCGGUCUCCUCCUAAAGAGUAACGGAGGAGCACGAAGGUUGGCUAAUCCUGGUCGGACAUCAGGAGGUUAGUGCAAUGGCAUAAGCCAGCUUGACUGCGAGCGUGACGGCGCGAGCAGGUGCGAAAGCAGGUCAUAGUGAUCCGGUGGUUCUGAAUGGAAGGGCCAUCGCUCAACGGAUAAAAGGUACUCCGGGGAUAACAGGCUGAUACCGCCCAAGAGUUCAUAUCGACGGCGGUGUUUGGCACCUCGAUGUCGGCUCAUCACAUCCUGGGGCUGAAGUAGGUCCCAAGGGUAUGGCUGUUCGCCAUUUAAAGUGGUACGCGAGCUGGGUUUAGAACGUCGUGAGACAGUUCGGUCCCUAUCUGCCGUGGGCGCUGGAGAACUGAGGGGGGCUGCUCCUAGUACGAGAGGACCGGAGUGGACGCAUCACUGGUGUUCGGGUUGUCAUGCCAAUGGCACUGCCCGGUAGCUAAAUGCGGAAGAGAUAAGUGCUGAAAGCAUCUAAGCACGAAACUUGCCCCGAGAUGAGUUCUCCCUGACUCCUUGAGAGUCCUGAAGGAACGUUGAAGACGACGACGUUGAUAGGCCGGGUGUGUAAGCGCAGCGAUGCGUUGAGCUAACCGGUACUAAUGAACCGUGAGGCUUAACCUUACAACGCCGAAG
rnacentral:rRNA from 1 species